rnacentral:tRNA from 1 species
GAAGUGGUGGUUCAGUGGCAGAAUUCUCGCCUUCCAUGUGAGAGAUCUGAGUUCAAUUCCCCGCCAGUGCA